rnacentral:lncRNA from 1 species
AAGAAUGCUUGGUGAUCUCAAACCACUCACAAGAGGUCCCGCCCAAAGGCAAAGGGAACCAAGAUGCUAUGAUCCUUGAGGCAAGAUGCAAAUGCAAUGCUAUGGUGCCAUGAGGGAUCUUAGGGACAAAAUUGGGGUCUUAUAGUCAAGGUUGAUUUGACUUUUGUUGGAUUAAAAUCAUUGGAUUUAGGGGAUUGAUGAAAUGUACAUUUCAUCUCCCAAAAUGAAUGAGUGAUUUUAAUUUGAUAAAAUUCCUCCCAUGACCAAUUUGUGUUUGUCUCAU